ACAACCUGCUUUCAAUAUACCACGCUGGACUCCUUCCUUUCUUCUACAUGAGAGGCUUAGAUACAGCAGACAGCGUCACACACAAGAGGCUUAGAUACAGCAGACAGCGUCACACACAAGAGGCUUAGAUACAGCAGACAGCGUCACACACAAGAGGCUUAGAUACAGCAGACAGCGUCACACACAAGAGGCUUAGAUACAGCAGACAGCGUCACACACAAGAGGCUUAGAUACAGCAGACAGCGCCACACACAAGAGGCUUAAAUACAGCAGACAGUAUCACACACAAGAGGCUUAGAUACAGCAGACAGCGUCACACACAAGAGGCUUAGAUACAGCAGACAGCGUAACACACACGAGGCUUAAAUACAGCAGACAGCGUCACACACAAGAGGCUUAGAUACAGCAGACAGCGUCACACACAAGAGGCUUAGAUACAGCAGACAGCGUCACACACAAGAGGCUUAGAUACAGCAGACAGCAUCACACACAAGAGGCUUAGAUACAGCAGACAGCAUCACACACACAAGAGAGACAGAUACAGCAGACAGCAUCACACACACACACCAGAGCCUAUGUUACAGCAGACAGAUCACACAUAAAGGGCUUAGAUACAGCAGACAGCAUCACACACAAGAGGCUUGGAUACAGCAGACAGUAUCACAUCAGAGGCUCACAUACAGUAGACAAGAUUACACAAGAGAGGCUUCGAUAUACCAGAUGUGAUCACACACACGAGAACCUUAGAUACAGCGGACAGGAUCACACAUGAAGGGCUUAGAUACAAUAGACUAUAUCUUGCAUUACAAGUUUAGAUACGGCAGACAAUAACAAACAUUUCAGGCUUAGAUACAACAGACAGGAUGAAAUGUGCGGCUGGGACAGAGCAGACCAUCAGACGUCACAGGCUUAGAUACAGAAGAUCAUACCAGAGGCUUAGACACAGUGAACAGUAUCACACAUGAUAAGCUUGGAUACAGUGGUUCUCUUGGUAUUUGUGUGGUCGGCUCCAUAUUCACCCACAGAUCCUCCCUGGCUGCGGCGGCUCCUUCUCUGCCCACAAGUUUGUGCCCCCUGUGAUGUCACCGCAGAGAUCGGCUAAAAUUAACCCUGAAGUACAGAAGCGAGAACAACACAAGAGAAGCGAGCGGACGAUAAGUGUGAACAGUGGCGUAACAUGCUAUCACAAGCAUGAGGGUAGUGAACAUUGGGGAACACCGAUUCUAUAUGACUGAGAUGGCGGUAGAACACAGAAUUUCUACAGGAAUUUUGGUCAUUUACGGUAAAAUAUGGCAAAAAAUAAAUGAAAUCAGGGACGCGCACUAUUGACGUUCUUCCCCUAAGUGCCCUGAGCACUUAUAACAAGUGGCUUUUUUUUUUUUCCCUUUCUUUUUUAAGUUCAGCCCCCCCAAAAUGUCUGUGCACGUCCCAGAAUGAAAUAAUAAAUUUUGGUACCAAUUAGAGAUGAGGGAACUUAC